GCCUUCGUGGUGUAACGGUAGCACACUCGGCGCGUAUGCGAGAGUUUCAGGUUCGGAUCCUGGCGAGGGCA
rnacentral:tRNA from 1 species